ACGCCCAAACAUUUGCAAAUCCUGUCAGCAAAUGACUACCAUCUGCGCGCAAUUGCAGGAGGGGGUAUGACGGAAUCAGGCUUUUGACAAAAGUGUGGAGUAUAUUUUUUCUUUUGAAACAUACGUGUAUAUACACACACAUACAUACACACCCAAAGUUUUCAAAGUGGAUAGCAGCCACCACGGAGAAACAAUAGUGAUGAAGCCUGGAUUAUUCAAUCUAAACCGCUUUCACUUGCAUGAGGUUUUGGUAACAGGACUGAGAAAAACGCAACCACCAUCCACAAAAUAAUCUCUAUGGCAUGGAUUCUCCGCCGUGCCCUACCAUCCAACUCGAUCACACCUGUGGAUGAACUUUCAGAGAUCUGAAUGUGGCCAUGUAAUGUUACGGUGUGCCAUGGCACAGGCGGAAGAAAGGUGACGAUCCACGGAGCGGCUCCGAGAAAAAGGGGUUUAUUAAUAAAACUGAACAUGUCGGGGGAAAAGCACAAAAAAAAAGGGACCAUGGGGGUUCAAAAAUAAACAUGAAAAAAUAAACAAACUAAAGAAACCACAAAAUAACACACCUAGGUGACAGAACACCACAUGGAGGUAAAAUUGUUCGAUUCAUCCACUCAUCUUCAGUAACUGCUUAUCCAGUAAAGAAUUAGCCAAUCCAGGAAGUAGCGUGAACAAGCAAAAGAAAAUUAAUGUCUUGGUACAGAUAUGGCUACAUAGGGAAGAAUUUGUUAAGACCUGAAUAUGCUCUGGAUCCAUCAAUGAUUUAUGGUGGUGUAUGGGUGCCAAGCAACAGUAUUCCCAAACUCACCCAAACAAUCCCAGGAAGUCGAAGUGCCGGAAUGCUUCCUGCAGAAGUGAGGACAUCUCAAGGAUGAGUAGCUGGAACACAAAGCUGGCCAAUUACACCCUGCUCCCCAUAACUAAAAACCAAAAACUCAUUAAAGAUUGAGAGAUGGGACCUGGA